AACGAACGCUGGCGGCAUGCCUAACACAUGCAAGUCGAACGAGACCUUCGGGUCUAGUGGCGCACGGGUGCGUAACGCGUGGGAACCUGCCCUUAGGUUCGGAAUAACUCCCCGAAAGGGGUGCUAAUACCGGAUAAUGUCUUCGGACCAAAGAUUUAUCGCCUUUGGAUGGGCCCGCGUUGGAUUAGCUAGUUGGUAGGGUAAAAGCCUACCAAGGCGACGAUCCAUAGCUGGUCUGAGAGGAUGAUCAGCCACACUGGGACUGAGACACGGCCCAGACUCCUACGGGAGGGAGGAGGGGGGAAUAUUGGACAAUGGGCGAAAGCCUGACCCAGCAAUGCCGGGUGAGUGAUGAAGGCCUUAGGGUUGUAAAGCUCUUUUACCCGGGAUGAUAAUGACAGCACCGGGAGAAUAAGCUCCGGCUAACUCCGUG
rnacentral:rRNA from 1 species